rnacentral:rRNA from 1 species
GAUGAACGCUGGCGGCGUGCCUAAUACAUGCAAGUCGAGCGAACGGACGAGAAGCUUGCUUCUCUGAUGUUAGCGGCGGACGGGUGAGUAACACGUGGAUAACCUACCUAUAAGACUGGAAUAACUUCGGGAAACCGGAGCUAAUACCGGAUAAUAUUUUGAACCGCAUGGUUCAAAAGUGAAAGACGGUCUUGCUGUCACUUAUAGAUGGGUCCGCGCUGCAUUAGCUAGUUGGUAAGGUAACGGCUUACCAAGGCAACGAUGCAUAGCCGACCUGAGAGGGUGAUCGGCCACACUGGAACUGAGACACGGUCCAGACUCCUACGGGAGGCAGCAGUAGGGAAUCUUCCGCAAUGGGCGAAAGCCUGACGGAGCAACGCCGCGUGAGUGAUGAAGGUCUUCGGAUCGUAAAACUCUGUUAUUAGGGAAGAACAUAUGUGUAAGUAACUGUGCACAUCUUGACGGUACCUAAUCAGAAAGCCACGGCUAACUACGUG